GGCGUCAGGGGACUCCUCAUUGUUUAAUGUUGACAAUAGUACUUAUCUAAAAGGUGCACCAAAAGAAAGGGGGGACAAAUAAGGAUACAAAGUGAAUGACAAUAUUCAUCUUUGAUUACUACCACUCAGCUUGUAACGUAAGUUUCGUUAAAUUCACUAUAUUGUUUUACAAGAACUAAUUUUUUGGUUUCGGAAAAUUUAUUGAUAGUUUUUUUUUCCAAUUGUGCAGGAAAUUGGUUUGGACAACGACAAGGAAAAAGCUGUGCAACAUUAACUUGGUUAAAAAUGAGCGUUGCUUACAUCAAAGGAGAAAGAUAAAAGGAGAACCUGUUAAAAUACUAGUGCCAAGGAGAUAACCACUAGGUGUGGGAAGGCAUCAGGGGACUCCUCAUUGUCUAAUCAUGACAGUAGUACAUCUUAUCUAAAACGUAGUACGAAAGAGAAGGGGGGGACUAAUGAGGAUACAAAGUGAAGGACAACAGUCACAUUUUUUUUUAUUACUACCACUUAGUCUGUAACACAAGUUUAGUUAGAUUCACUAUAUUGUUUUACAAGAACUAGUUUUUUGCUUUCAAAAAGUUUAUUGAUAGUUUUUUUCCAAUUGUGCAGGAACUUGACUUGGGUAACAACAAAGUAGGAUUUACGUAACAGAUUUCCCUUCUAGAAACGAAGUUACAUGUAGUUUUGUAAUUAUUCGACCCCCUCCAAUAUAUAUAUAUAUAUAUGUAGUUUGGUUUUGUUUGUUUGCAGCUAAAAGCACCCCUGCUUGAAUAUAGAUGUAGAUGAGCCUUGCGUACAACAAAGAUUGUAUAAUUGCUGAUAAGUUAUGCCUAUGUCAUUUAUUUGUUUUCUAGUAUCAUUCAUGGUGAUGCCUUUAGAAAUAAAUCCUUUUUUGAAGGUGAAAGCACUGCUGUAUGAUCUUGGAGCUCAAGCUAAGGCCGUGCAAACCUGACCGAAUGGUCUACUCUUAGUUUAGGGUCAGGCCAAGGCUGAGAACACUUGAUCGAAGGGCUUACCCUCGGUUGGGGGCUCUAGCCAAAGCCAAACACACUAUACUGAAGGGCCUACCCUCUAUUG